CGGAUGGCUGCCGGGAAGGGGCCGGGAGGGGGAAUGCGGCCGGGCCGCCUGCUCUGAGGUGGAAGGAGAAGGAGGUGAACCUGCUGGAUACACGGAGAACGCCUACAACUCGAGAAGAAAAGGAAAGCAGUUAAAAAAUGAGUGGAGGAAAUGGCUGAAACAGGCUGCUCUACUGACAGCAAUGUUGCUCUGAAAACCUAUCUUCUAUCACAGGGAACAUUACACAAUACUCUCUGGGAUGGUGACACUGGGCACACUGAUGGACAGCUGAGUGGCCGAAUGAUGAAGAAGCUGGUAUCUGGAGUUUUUAAAAGCUGUACAAAGAAGAAAUAGAGCUGUUACGUGGAAAGGGGGAAGAAGAGACAUCUGGAAAGAGCUUUGGAAUGGGACUUUGGAUGGAUCAGAUGGAAAACAAAGCAGCUGGCUCCAGAUGUGGAGUGAUGAAGUUGGCUCCAUGAAAGGACAGGGCCCCACGUCAGUUUGCUGUGGGUGUUUCAUGGUCACAGAGAGUCCAAAAGUGAUUGGGGCGGUGUGUUGGAGACAUGCAAAUGUGCUUUGUAACUUGAGCCCCCUUUAACAACCAUUCUGGUGGGGUUUCCAUUUCAGACUUCCUGGCCACAGAAAAGCAGCCAUGUGUCAAAUAACAGCCUGCAGAGGUGUGAUUUGUGUGGAGAGUAGGUGGGCUGAGCUCACCCCUUGGGUGAUUCAUGCAGACUUUCUGACCCCCAAGCCUGCCUAACUGGAAAAUCCCUUAGCUUGAGGUCUGGUGGUGAUUUUUUUUCUUUCAUUCACUUACCAGGAUGCUUAUUUAAAAAAAUGGUGAAGCCCGAGGGCGCCAGCCACUGAAGGGAGGUGUUCUUCUCCAGAGAAGUGACACACUUGAGAGUGAGCGUCUGGCCUUCCUCCACCGUGAUAGUUUCCGUGUGGUUAGUCAGAAAGGCAUCUGUGGAGGAAGAGAAACAACAGGUCAGGCUGGCUGGGGCUAAACUGCACUUGUCCAGGGUAGGAAUUUAUUAUUAGUAUAGCCUCAUUAAAUCAUUCAAUCACCCUUUGCAUAUUUCUUAUAGAAACCAAAAUAUAAACAAAUACCAAAAAAAUUUGAGGAGAGGGAGCACUGCAUGCAGGAACAACAAAGUCGUCUAAUGAAGGAGAGCACAUUCCAGCUAGGACUGAAUAAAGGAUCUGGAUCUUACUAGGAAAAAAGGAAAAGUUGAACAUCUGUUAUUGGGCCAUUUGCCUGGUCACAUGGCAGGAACUGGGCUGGCUCAUUUUGCCUAAAUUUAAUAUUCAAACUAAUCCUCCAGGAAGGAUUGUUUUGCUCACUUUACAGGUGAGGGAAUAGAGGCUCAAGAUUACCGAGGUCAUGGAGCUGGAAUCUGUAUCCAGGACUUCAAAAUUCUUGUUUCUGCAACUUCAGUAUCAGCUUAUGUAAAUGAUGAGACCCCAGAAAACCUACCCUUUAUGACUUCAGGUUAUAAAAUGGGUAACUUCUCCCUUCACGUAUAAGUGUCUAGGAGUCUAUGAAAAACUGUUGGGCUGGGAGUGUGGCUCAGUGGUAGAGCACUUGCCUGGUAUGCCCAAGGUUCCAGGUUCCAUCCCAGUACCUCAAGAAAACGAAAACCAAAAUCAGGGCUGGGAUUUAGCUCAGUGGUUCCACUGCGUGCCUCGCAAGAGGAAGGACCCGAGUUCAAUCCCCAGUACCAAAAAAAAACCCAACCCAACAACAAAACGAAGUUAUAAUCUGCGGCACUGCCCUGAAGUAUGCAGCUGCUGUUCACCUAUCAGAGAGCUUCUACACCUGAGGGAAGAUGUUCUAAGAUCCCUAGCUCAAUAGUCCACAGCAGCACUUUUUCCUGGCAGACAGGAGAGUCUAAUAUUACUGAGUCACAAUCCCCAGAGAAUGACAAGCAAUUGGCUCAGCUGCAAAUUUAUCUGCCCACAAGAAAAUGAGGGAAAAAUAAACUGGCUUUACUGCUGAUUUGGCACAUUUAUACCUUUCAUUAUUUCUUCAAAUUUGAAAUUAAAAACAAUUUUUCCCCAGAUGACAAGAUAGUUCUUAUCAAUGAAGGAACAAAACAUUUCCAUAAGCAGAAUGCUAUAGGUUUAUAAAUUAUGAGUUGCAAAUGUAACAUGUUUUACUGAAUUAUCUUAACUACCCCCAAGAAAAUGAAAGGAAGAAAGAAAGAAAGAAAGAAAGAAAAGACAAAAAAGAAAGAAAGACGUUUAUUUACUUAUAAAUUUUAAGUAUUAGGAACGUGCUUUGGAGAGCUUGGGAAUUAACUGGUGUAGCCUUUUUUGGUGUGUUCCAUUCCUAGGUCAUUAAUUUCCAUCUAGCCUCCAGAAGUAAUAAGCCAGAAUUAUUAUGUUGUAUUCGUAUUGACUUUCAUGGGAAGACAGUUUGCUUGAGUUCUAAUGGAGAAAGCACCCAUAUAUCAUCAGCCAAUACUGUAAUGAACAAUGAGUCAAAUAGAGGUUUAAGAGAUGUGUGGGGCUGGGGAUAGAGCUCAUGGUAGAGCAUAUGUGUAGUAUGCCAGAGGCCCUGGGUUCUAUCCAGAGCAUGAAAAUAAAUAAGCAAAUAAAGAGAAAGAGAUCUGCAUUUUUAAAAAUUGAGCCCUAAGGCUAGAAUUCUGCUUUGAUUUGAUUUGGUCAUUUGGAAAUAGUCCAAUCUACAAAACUAACUCAUAAUGAGUAAUAAGAAUAAUCUUAAUAUGGGCCGGGGAUUUAGCUCAGUGGCACCAUGCCUGCCUCACAAGUACAAGGUCCUGAUUUUGAUCCCCAGUACCAGAAAAAAAAAAAAGAGUAAUUUUAAUAGAGAUGCUUUGAAAUGACAAUGGAAUUUCUUCUAAGGGAUUUUUCUUGGUAAUAAAAAUUUUGGAGGCCAUUUAGUCCUUGUUCUUGGGUCUGUGUGACAUCCACGUUAAGUGGGAAGGGAAAACAGUUGUCCUCAACAUUGCAAACAUAUCAGAGUCACCUGAGGAGACAGAGACACAGAGAGAGAUGGAGAAACAGAGAGACAGACAGAAAGACAGAGAGACAGAUAAAGACAGAGAGUCAGAGAGAGCAGAGACAGAGAGAGAGAUUAGAGCUCUGAAAUAAUAAAAUAAUGAAACCCUCUUUCCCUUCUCUCUUCUCUUCAUCAUGUAAAUUGUUGGCUAUUAAAAUAUUAACUUACUUGGAGAUAUGUGUAUCAAUAUUGUUCUAAAAAGUGAGCUACUCCAAAAAGGAACCUCUCCCAGCAAAUCAAAUCUACUUGCUUUUAGACACUACAGAGUCCACCUGUACAACAUCCCUGUAGAUUACUAUAUUUCCCUGAAAAUAAGAUCUAGGCUUAUAUUAAUUUUUGCUCCAAAACACACCAUAGGGCUUAUUUUCAGGGGAUAUUUUAUUUUUUCAUGUACAACAAUCUACAUUUAUUCAUGUAUAAUAAUCUUCAUUUAUUCAUUCAUUCAUGUACAAAAAUAUACAUUUAUUCAAUCACAGUCAUGUCAUCUUCUUCUGCAACAUUGUUGUUAACUCUCUAAACCUUAAAUUCUGAACCAAGAGAGAUUAUGUAAAGCUGCAAAUUUCCAAUGAUGAAUGUCAUUAUAUUGUAUACCU